rnacentral:rRNA from 1 species
CACGUAGGAGGCGAGCGUUGUCCGGAAUCAUUGGGCGUAAAGAGCGCGCAGGCGGCUUGGCAAGUCGGGUGUGAAAUCCCGGGGCUCAACCCCGUGACUGCAUCCGAUACUGUCAGGCUAGAGGUAGGUAGGGGGAGAUCGGAAUUCCUGGUGUAGCGGUGAAAUGCGCAGAUAUCAGGAGGAACACCGGUGGCGAAGGCGGAUCUCUGGGCCUUACCUGACGCUCAGGCGCGAAAAGCUAGGGGGGAGCGAAACAG